rnacentral:hammerhead_ribozyme from 1 species
AUCCAGCUGACGAGUCUUGAACAAGACAAAACGCGCAUCCUGGAU